rnacentral:rRNA from 1 species
UACGUAGGGGGCAAGCGUUGUCCGGAAUCAUUGGGCGUAAAGAGCGUGUAGGCGGCCCGAUAAGUCCGCUGUGAAAGUCCAGGGCUCAACCCUGGAAUGCCGGUGGAUACUGUCGGGCUCGAGUUCGGAAGAGGUGAGUGGAAUUCCUGGUGUAGCGGUGAAAUGCGCAGAUAUCAGGAAGAACACCAAUAGCGAAGGCAGCUCGCUGGGACGGUAUUGACGCUAAGGCGCGAAAGCGUGGGGAGCAAACAGG